rnacentral:rRNA from 1 species
CGGGUGGCGACCGGCGCACGGGUGAGUAACGCGUAUGCAACUUGCCUAUCAGAGGGGGAUAACCCGGCGAAAGUCGGACUAAUACCGCAUGAAGCAGGGGCCCCGCAUGGGGAUAUUUGCUAAAGAUUCAUCGCUGAUAGAUAGGCAUGCGUUCCAUUAGGCAGUUGGCGGGGUAACGGCCCACCAAACCGACGAUGGAUAGGGGUUCUGAGAGGAAGGUCCCCCACAUUGGUACUGAGACACGGACCAAACUCCUACGGGAGGCAGCAGUGAGGAAUAUUGGUCAAUGGGCGUAAGCCUGAACCAGCCAAGUCGCGUGAGGGAUGAAGGUUCUAUGGAUCGUAAACCUCUUUUAUAAGGGAAUAAAGUGCGGGACGUGUCCCGUUUUGUAUGUACCUUAUGAAUAAGGAUCGGCUAACUCCGUGCCAGCAGCCGCGGUAAUACGGAGGAUCCGAGCGUUAUCCGGAUUUAUUGGGUUUAAAGGGUGCGUAGGCGGCCUUUUAAGUCAGCGGUGAAAGUCUGUGGCUCAACCAUAGAAUUGCCGUUGAAACUGGGGGGCUUGAGUAUGUUUGAGGCAGGCGGAAUGCGUGGUGUAGCGGUGAAAUGCUUAGAUAUCACGCAGAACCCCGAUUGCGAAGGCAGCCUGCCAAGCCAUGACUGACGCUGAUGCACGAAAGCGUGGGGAUCAAACAGGAUUAGAUACCCUGGUAGUCCACGCAGUAAACGAUGAUCACUAGCUGUUUGCGAUACAGUGUAAGCGGCACA